AGGCUUCCUCCCGCUCUAACUGUGGAAGGGACAAGCUUUCCUGGAGCAAACUGUCCAGCACGGGUGUCUGGGCAGGAGGGGAGCACUCUGGGGACAAGGCAGGUCCUGCUGCUGCCACUCCGCAUCUGUCUCAGCACAGCUCCGGUCACAGCUCUGUGCACAGUCAGGGGGAGAGCAUCUAAGGUCAGAGCCUGAAGGCACUGCUUCAACUUUCACAUAAUUACAGCAUCCCAAGGGUGUUUAAAGGGCUGGCUGGUGUUAAAUUAAGUGUUUUAGGGACUGCGUGAGAAUGUUAGAAAUGCCCUUCCCAGUCGUGUGUCUCCACCGAAGUAAUAUUUCAGCCUGUCUGCUCUUAAGAGCCCACGAAAUCCUCUUCUGUAGCCUCUGAUCAGACACGUUUGUGCCUCCUGCUUGAAUGGUGAUGCCAAAUGCCCUGCUGGCUUCCUCCUCCCAGGGGAACAGUCUUAGGAAAGAUUUUUAAAGGAAGGACUGAACUCAAUGGCCCUAAGCAGUCUCCGUGCUGUUUCAUGUGACGUGACUCAGUACCAUACUUGGUCACUAAACGAGUCUUGGUGCUCCUAAUUAAAACCAGCUUUUGCCCAAACUAUUCCUGUGCGAGGGCUGUCUCAGUCACUAAAGUGUCUCGGUCAUUAAUAGUGGUGCUGCAAAUCUGUUUGGGGGGGAGCUGUAAUCUCCUGAAGGGAUCCUUGGUUUUUGCAAUCAGAAUGCAAAGGUGUUCCUUUUACAACAUCCUUCUAAAGUCUGCCCGUCAAACCACUGAAAACUCAUGACUUUGUCUGGAGUCACGAGGAGCCUCCCAGCAAUCAGCAGCUUAAAGGUGCGAGGCUGGUGUUUGCAGUGCAGAGAGGUUAGGCUGGAUUUCCAGCAAGCCAAAGGAGUUGGGUAAUGAGCAGCAUCAUGUGUUCAGUGCUUUAAAAAUGCAGUGGCACUUGGGGUGGAAACGGGAAAAAGUCAGGCUGGUGUUUCACAAGUAGCACACUUUUGCCCCUGUGCACAAGGCAGGAUGACUCAGCUGCUCACUGAUAGCAGUAGUUUGUUGAAAUAAAUACUGACCUUCAAACAACUGCUAUCACUAAUGUAAAUAAUAGCCUAAAUACGAUAAACCUAACCCUUGCAUGUUUUUUUUUUUCUCCACUAUUCUGGAGGUUUUUUCACUUGGAUCUCUCCCAGGAAACCUCUGCAUCCCUUUUCAUCCUUAAUGGAGCUUCAGGAGAGCUUUGCUCUGUGGGUUCAGCCUGACAAAAGUGGCAGUGUCAGGAAUUAGAAGACGGAAAAGUGAUUCAGAGUAAAAAUGAGAUGACCUUGCAAAAACCUUGAUUGAAGUACUUCUGAAGAGUUUAUAAGAAAUAUUCCCACUUGCCACCUGUGUGCACAAAAAUUUGGAUUUGGACGCCUAAAUAUGCCAGUAUUUGGACACCUGAAUAUGCCACAACUAUAGAGCUUGGUGACUGUGGGGAAGGAGUGUGCUCCCUCCCCAGUUAGUUCUUAGAAAGCCUCCUGGGCCCAGCUGUGUCCCUGUGGGAGCAUGAUGCUGUGUGCAUGAGCACAUGGCUCCCCUGGGACUAGACAGGCACCAGAGGCAGCAGAAGAAAAGCAGAACCACCCUGUCAAGAUAUUUUAGUAAAUUUGAAAUAGCCCAGUGGUUUCAUACCGGACGAGCACGCUGUGUGGUGUAGUGAGCCAGCACUUGCAAUCCUGGAGCACCUUCUCUGCCUUCACUAUGCAGCCUCUGACUUCCCUGCCUCUAUUCACCCACUUUUAAAGCAAUGUGAAUACCCUCAUAGCACAGAUCAGUUAAAAACAAUGAAGAGUGGCUGGCCAGAGCCCUCAUUUAGCCUGGUUUUCUGAAAACUGCAGAUUUUUCCUUUCCACGUAAUAAGGUUAGAUGCAAGAAUUUUUUUCCCACUGCUCUAAGAAGUCACUUCUUCCUACCUUAAAUAUUGAACUACUUAUUAAAACAGAAGAAAAAAAAAAAAGGCCAUGAGCUGCUGGCUAUUGGGUCCUUCCGUGUAACUCUAAAGUGACGGAAGGAGGAAGCGACUCAGAGCUGGAGCCGUGCCGGGCGAUCCUGCGCUGCUGCUGGUGUAACUUCAUCCAUUUAUCUCUUCACUUCACCCACUUUUGGGGUAUCUGCCUCCCAGAGCAGAGGUGCUGCCUCAGAGGUCCUCUCUGAAGGGCUCCAGAACUGCUGCAUCCACAGCACAGUGCUGGGAUUUCACGCUGCUGGCUGGGUCCCACAUAUUAAAGCCCACGGACAGCCUGUCACAUCAUUCCUGGGGACUCCAUUUCAGAUCCAGGAGUACCUGAUGUCUUAGAUGGGCAAAUGGGCGUUGUGCACACGCUGGUAAACACCGUCCUGCUCCGCACGCCGAUCCCAGCUCAGAUAAACACUUGUGUCCAGUUACUGCCUUCACAACUUCCAGGUGAAAGCGACUCAUCCCAUGCUGUACACUUGGAUAUUUCUAUCUGCUGAGCAUGCUGAGAUUUGUAAUACUCUGCUCUUCCCAGAUUUAUGGAUAGAAUUAAAAGAAGGUGGGAAUAUACCCCCAGCCGUGCUCUUCUGAGGGCUGUGCAGCUCCUGUGCUGCCAGAGAAGUAUCCCUGACUUCUCAUACAACUGCAUCUUAUACCUACAUUUGAAGGAGGAUUUGGUGUCCUGGUUGUGACGAGAAUUGCAAA